rnacentral:rRNA from 1 species
AGUGAACGCUGGCGGCGUGCUUAACACAUGCAAGUCGAACGAGAACGGAAUAUAGCUUGCUAUAUUUGUCAGCUAAGUGGCGCAGGGGUGAGGAAUGUAUAGAUAACCUGCCCUUAAGAAAGGAAUAACAGUUGGAAACGACUGCUAAUGCCCUAUAUGCCUUUAAUACAUAAGUAUGCAAGGGAAACGCUUUAGUGCUUAAGGAUGGGUCUGUAUGGUAUCAGCUUGUUGGUGCGGUAAUGGCUCACCAAGGCUAUGACGCCUAACUGGUUUGAGAUGAUGAUCAGUCAGACUGGAACUGAGACACGGUCCAGACUCCUACGGGAGGCAGCAGUGGGGAAUAUUGCACAAUGGACGAAAGUCUGAUGCAGCAACGCCGCGUGGAGGAUGACACAUUUCGGUGCGUAAACUCCUUUUAUAUAGGAAGAUAAUGACGGUACUAGAUGAAUAAGCACCGGCUAACUCCGUGCCAGCCGCCGCCGUAA